rnacentral:lncRNA from 1 species
UGAGACAGAAAGGUCCUUGGAUGUUGUCAUUGAGAGGUAAUUUGAAGUUGAAUUUUGAUGACAGCUUUUUUGGAAGCCCAAGGCCCUUUGGUUUCAUGGGCAUCUUACAAGAUUAUGCAUGUGCUAUUGCUUUUUUGUUAUACAGGUGCUAGUGAUAUUUUGACCGCUAAUGAAGCAUAAAUGGAAGCUUUGGAGCAAUGUUU